rnacentral:rRNA from 1 species
ACGGGGUGCAGCAGGCGCGAAAACUUUGCAAUAAGCGAAAGCUUGACAGGGCUAUCCCGAGUGCCAUCCGCUGAGGAAGGCUUUUACCCAGUCUAGUAAGCUGGGGGAAUAAGGAGAGGGCAAGUCUGGUGUCAGCCGCCGCGGUAAUACCAGCUCUCCGAGUGGUGUGGAUGUUUAUUGGGCCUAAAGCAUCCGUAGCUGGCUGAGUUAGUCCCCUGUUAAAUCCACCGAAUCAAUCGUUGGAUUGCGGGGGAUACUGCCCGGCUAGGGGACGGGAGAGGCAGACGGUAUUUUCGGGGUAGGGGUGAAAUCCUAUAAUCCCGGGAAGACCACCAGUGGCGAAGGCUGUCUGCUAGAACGCGCCCGACGGUGAGGGAUGAAAGCUGGGGUAGCGAACCGGAUUAGAUACCCGGGUAGCCCCAGCCGUAAACGAUGCAGGCUAGGUGUUUGGGCGGCCACGUGCCGCUCUAGUGCCGCAGGGAAGCUGUUAAGCCUGCCGCCUGGGGAGUACGAUCGCAAGAUUGAAACUUAAAGGAAUUGGCGGGGGAGCAC